rnacentral:rRNA from 1 species
UUGCACCUGAUUGAUUUUGGUYGCCAACGAGUGGCGGACGGGUGAGUAACACGUAGGUAACCUGCCCAGAAGCGGGGGACAACAUUUGGAAACAGAUGCUAAUACCGCAUAACARCGUUGUUCGCAUGAACAACGCUUAAAAGAUGGCUUCUCGCUAUCACUUCUGGAUGGACCUGCGGUGCAUUAGCUUGUUGGUGGGGUAAYGGCCUACCAAGGCGAUGAUGCAUAGCCGAGUUGAGAGACUGAUCGGCCACAAUGGGACUGAGACACGGCCCAUACUCCUACGGGAGGCAGCAGUAGGGAAUCUUCCACAAUGGGCGCAAGCCUGAUGGAGCAACACCGCGUGAGUGAAGAAGGGUUUCGGCUCGUAAAGCUCUGUUGUUAAAGAAGAACACGUAUGAGAGUAACUGUUCAUACGUUGACGGUAUUUAACCAGAAAGUCACGGCUAACUACGUGCCAGCAGCCGCGGUAAUACGUAGGUGGCAAGCGUUAUCCGGAUUUAUUGGGCGUAAAGAGAGUGCAGGCGGUUUUCUAAGUCUGAUGUGAAAGCCUUCGGCUUAACCGGAGAAGUGCAUCGGAAACUGGAUAACUUGAGUGCAGAAGAGGGUAGUGGAACUCCAUGUGUAGCGGUGGAAUGCGUAGAUAUAUGGAAGAACACCAGUGGCGAAGGCGGCUACCUGGUCUGCAACUGACGCUGAGACUCGAAAGCAUGGGUAGCGAACAGGAUUAGAUACCCUGGUAGUCCAUGCCGUAAACGAUGAGUGCUAGGUGUUGGAGGGUUUCCGCCCUUCAGUGCCGGAGCUAACGCAUUAAGCACUCCGCCUGGGGAGUACGACCGCAAGGUUGAAACUCAAAGGAAUUGACGGGGGCCCGCACAAGCGGUGGAGCAUGUGGUUUAAUUCGAAGCUACGCGAAGAACCUUACCAGGUCUUGACAUCUUGCGCCAACCCUAGAGAUAGGGCGUUUCCUUCGGGAACGCAAUGACAGGUGGUGCAUGGU